rnacentral:tRNA from 1 species
GCCUGGGUGGCUCAGUCGGUUGAGCAUCUGACUUUGGUUCAGGUCAUGAUCUCGUGGUUCAUGAGUUCAAGCCCCAUGUCAGGCU